rnacentral:rRNA from 1 species
AGAGUUUGAUCAUGGCUCAGGAUGAACGCUAGCGGGAGGCCUAACACAUGCAAGCCGAGCGGUAUAGAAUCUUCGGAUUUUAGAGAGCGGCGUACGGGUGCGGAACACGUGUGCAACCUACCUUUAUCUGGAGGAUAGCCUUUCGAAAGGAAGAUUAAUACUCCAUAAUAUAUUGAUUGGCAUCAAUUAAUAUUGAAAGCUCCGGCGGAUAGAGAUGGGCACGCGCAAGAUUAGUUAGUUGGUGAGGUAACGGCUCACCAAGACGAUGAUCUUUAGGGGGGCCUGAGAGGGUGAUCCCCACACUGGUACUGAGACACGGACCAGACUCCUACGGGAGGCAGCAGUGAGGAAUAUUGGACAAUGGGUGCAAGCCUGAUCCAGCCAUCCCGCGUGAAGGACGACUGCCCUAUGGGUUGUAAACUUCUUUUGUAUAGGGAUAAACCUCUCCUCGUGAGGAGAGCUGAAGGUACUAUACGAAUAAGCACCGGCUAACUCCGUG